rnacentral:lncRNA from 1 species
UUUUAAUAGGUCGUAAACCUAAUUGCUAGGCCUCGGAACGCGUCGGCGAAGACGGUUUGCCGAUCCGACGAACGGGUGCGGAGUUAUCGCCGAAUCGGGUACUCGAGGGCUCGCUUUGCCCCGAGGAGUUCAAGCGGCGUGCAAGAACCGCAACGUCGGGUUUUCCAUCAUCGCGGCAUCGCCAAGAGGUGGGUGGUGUCCAUCCCGAAGCAGUCGGGCUCCCUCCUAUGUCUUAGUAUAUUUCGAUCCUGCAUCUUGUAUUAUUGCAUUAUAGGAUUAGUACGUAUUGCCUUUCCUUAUGCCUCCCUUGAUAAUACCGUAGCAUGCAUUGGAUGUAGAAGAUUGGUGAGGAUUGGGUCGAGUUUUGUGAAUCCUAUAAUGUAGAGAAAAUGAUGAAUAAUGAACGAGUGGCAUCUAGUUGAUAGUAAACAAAUGAACGAGUGG